rnacentral:rRNA from 1 species
CGCAAUGGGCGCAAGCCUGACGGAGCAACGCCGCGUGAGGGAUGAAGGCCUCUGGGCUGUAAACCUCUUUUAUCAAGGAAGAAGAUCUGACGGUACUUGAUGAAUAAGCCACGGCUAAUUCCGUGCCAGCAGCCGCGGUAAUACGGGAGUGGCAAGCGUUAUCCGGAAUUAUUGGGCGUAAAGCGUCCGCAGGCGGUUUUACAAGUCUGUCGUUAAAACGUGGAGCUCAACUCCAUUUCGGCGAUGGAAACUGUAAGACUAGAGUGUGGUAGGGGCAGAGGGAAUUCCCGGUGUAGCGGUGAAAUGCGUAGAUAUCGGGAAGAACACCAGUGGCGAAGGCGCUCUGCUGGGCCAUAACUGACGCUCAUGGACGAAAGCCAGGGGAGCGAAAGGGAUUAGAUACCCCUGUAGUCCUSGCCGUAAACGAUGAACACUASGUGUCGGGGGAAUCGACCCCCUCGGUGUCGUAGCCAACGCGUUAAGUGUUCCGCCUGGGGAGUACGCACGCAAGUGUGA